rnacentral:rRNA from 1 species
AGAGUUUGAUUAUGGCUCAGGAUGAACGCUGGCGGCGUGCCUAACACAUGCAAGUCGAGCGGAGGAACUGUGAAUGAGGCUUCGGCGGAUUUUACUUUUCCUUAGCGGCGGACGGGUGAGUAACGUGUGGGCAACCUGCCCUACAGUGGGGAAUAAUCAUUGGAAACGAUGACUAAUACCGCAUACGGUCUUCGGGAGGCAUCUCCUGAAGAAGAAAGGAUUUAUUCGCUGUAGGAUGGGCCCGCAUCUGAUUAGCUAGUUGGUGAGAUAAUAGCCCACCAAGGCAACGAUCAGUAGCCGACCUGAGAGGGUGAUCGGCCACAUUGGGACUGAGACACGGCCCAA